rnacentral:rRNA from 1 species
GUCUAUGGCCAUAUGACCUUGAAGGUACCUGAUCUUAUUUCAUCUCAGAAGUUAAACAGGGUUGGUCCUGGAUAGAGGCUGCAUGAGAAAAGUACCGAGCAUCACGAAAAUAACAAAAUCAUAGGAA